UCGCCCAUGAUUGUCCAAACGCAAUUCUUGUUCAAUUGUAAACUUCAAGAACUGUGUAUGGACAUCAGUGGCUGA
ncrna:Patiria miniata microRNA pmi-mir-219 precursor